rnacentral:rRNA from 1 species
AUGAACGCUGGCGGCGUGCCUAAUACAUGCAAGUCGAGCGAACGGACGAGAAGCUUGCUUUUCUGAUGUUAGCGGCGGACGGGUGAGUAACACGUGGAUAACCUACCUAUAAGACUGGGAUAACUUCGGGAAACCGGAGCUAAUACCGGAUAAUAUUUUGAACCGCAUGGUUCAAAAGUGAAAGACGGUCUUGCUGUCACUUAUAGAUGGAUCCGCGCUGCAUUAGCUAGUUGGUAAGGUAACGGCUUACCAAGGCAACGAUGCAUAGCCGACCUGAGAGGGUGAUCGGCCACACUGGAACUGAGACACGGUCCAGACUCCUACGGGAGGCAGCUGUAGGGAAUCUUCCGCAAUGGGCGAAAGCCUGACGGAGCAACGCCGCGUGAGUGAUGAAGGUCUUCGGAUCGUAAAACUCUGUUAUUAGGGAAGAACAUAUGUGUAAGUAACUGUGCACAUCUUGACGGUACCUAAUCAGAAAGCCACGGCUAACUACGUG